CUUGGUCAUUUAGAGGAAGUAAAAGUCGUAACAAGGUCUCCGUUGGUGAACCAGCGGAGGGAUCAUUACCGAGUUUACAACUCCCAAACCCAAUGCGAACCAUACCAAACUGUUGCCUCGGCGGGGUCACGCCCCGGGUGCGUCGCAGCCCCGGAACCAGGCGCCCGCCGGAGGGACCAACCAAACUCUUUCUGUAGUCCCCUCGCGGACGUUAUUUCUUACAGCUCUGAGCAAAAAUUCAAAAUGAAUCAAAACUUUCAACAACGGAUCUCUUGGUUCUGGCAUCGAUGAAGAACGCAGCGAAAUGCGAUAAGUAAUGUGAAUUGCAGAAUUCAGUGAAUCAUCGAAUCUUUGAACGCACAUUGCGCCCGCCAGUAUUCUGGCGGGCAUGCCUGUCCGAGCGUCAUUUCAACCCUCGAACCCCUCCGGGGGGUCGGCGUUGGGGAUCGGGAACCCCUAAGACGGGAUCCCGGCCCCGAAAUACAGUGGCGGUCUCGCCGCAGCCUCUCCUGCGCAGUAGUUUGCACAACUCGCACCGGGAGCGCGGCGCGUCCACGUCCGUAAAACACCCAACUUCUGAAAUGUUGACCUCGGAUCAGGUAGGAAUACCCGCUGAACUUAAGCAUAUCAAUAAGCGGAGGA
rnacentral:rRNA from 1 species